AUGUAUGGGCCUAUAUGGGAUAUGGCGCUAGCAGUUCAAUCUGUAGCUCAGGGGCUCUUCCUCCUCUCAAAACUCAACACCGCAAACGGCGGCUUAAACACCACCACCAUCGAAACCUCUUCUACAUCCGAUCUCUUCUCAAAUGGCCGCUCAAAUAAAACCUCUUCUUCGUCGUCGCCUUCAAUGCUCCACCGCCGCAACCUUAAACUCUCAUCCAUCUCUGAUUCUCUUCUCACAACCUCCGUCGAUCUUCGUCUUCUUCAUUUCCAACGAAUCCCCAUCGUAUCCACCCUUCUUAUCGCCUAG